rnacentral:lncRNA from 1 species
CUCAUCCACUUUCAUUUCGGCAAAGAAGACCAUUGCAAAUAUCAAUCGGAUAUCUUUGUCGAGUGCAAACAUUUGGUGGUUGCCGCUAAUCUUUAUAUGACUAAUAAUAUAUCAUCUUUCCUAGUAUCUUCUACACCGUAUCAUAGGAAAAAUCAAACUGCCCCGAUAUUGCAAGUUCAGUACUGGAGGCUGCCCUCGAUUAUUUUCUGUUCAUUAACAGUUGUAACAUCUUCGAUGACUUGUGAAGUGAUAGAUUUGUGUUGUUGUCCGGAUUUAACACCUAGACGUGCAAUUUCUUCGAAUCGAGUGAUCAUUCUCCUGUAAGCUUAGAGAUCGUCCGAGUAGAAGUUAUUAUGAAAGCGGAAUUCCCAAAUUGUAAUCGAAGCAUUGCCGUUGUUUUACUAUAACAACUUCAUAAGAAAUGUGCGUUUUGGCAAGAUAAUAAUCGUUGUAGUUGAUAAGAGGGAUAUUCAGCAAUUUAGUCACUGUUAUAGUUAUUCAGAACUUUUCAAUCCUUUAUACCCAUAUUACAGCACGCAUAUACUUAAAUAAAUGAAGCUGUCUUUUCUUUACCUGCAGCGAUAUAAGCGCUUAGUGAGUUUUGUACAUUUUAUUAGUGAGUGACUUUUGUUAUAUUUUUUUUUUAUAUGAAUGUCUUCCGGAAGUCCACAUGUCACUGUAUCUAAUUUGAAUGCGUUUGGAUUGUUAAAUCUCUCUUUAGACAAUGUUGAGUAGAGUUACUUUAAUUACGAUCAUUCAAUAUUUACAUGUAGCAUCUAGAAAUGUCCGCUUAAUAGCAUAAAUAUAUUAGUCUUUCUCUCUUGUUCCGUUUUACGUCGCUUUCCAACUUUUGUUGUUAUGCAUUUUUCUACAUCGAUUUGUUUUUGCGCUGUUUUCCAUUCAGCAGUUUUCGAGAGAUGAGACAUAUCAAUGUCCAUAACGAAUGUCCCAUAUUCCUGAUAAAAUCAGCAAUCAGGUGGUGGACAGAUAACAACAUACCGAGCCAAUAGAUUUCUUCGGAAAAAUUUCCGAGUUAUGGAACUUUUGAAUUGAACUCGGAUUCUCUCAGGUAAAUCACAGCAUGCCGUCAAUUAGUCGAAUGCAUCGUUGUUGUGAAAGUCCCUACGAGCUAAUCACAACAAUCACCACAACAUUGUUGUCGUUAGCUGUGCCAUCUAUUAGAGGAUCGAUUUCAACAAGACGGACUAAGUCCCUUUCAAAAAGUCUAAACUUAUGGAUUCGGAAUUCAGUCAAAUUCCUUCAUGAAUAAUCUAAUAUUUUCCAAAUACUGUUCCGGAAGUUCCUACAGUUAAUUCCAAACAUCCAGUUUAAAAAUCUUAUUCCCCAAUUUAUUCCAAACCAUUAUAUUUCUUACUCCACCAUCAUUUGAACAAUACAUUCUGGUACAA